UCUAUAUAAGAGCUUGGCCGGCCACCUCCACUCCCCUUUGCUCAUUUCUUUCACACUCCACUCCCUCAUACCUUCCUCCCCCUUCCUCCCCACGAGCUGCUGCUCCCCCUUGCUCACAUGGCCGGCCAUGGCCAUAGAAAUCCACCAAGAUGAAGCUCCCCUCCUCCCUCAAGCUUCCCCUCACCAUGAGAGCUUCCCUCUCACUCUCUUCUCCCCUAACCCUAGCUGAAUCCCCCUCUAUUUCUCCUUUCUCCUCUCACAAGAUUGGAUCUUGAUGCAGGUACAUGUUGGUCCAAGCAUGGAGAAGGUUGAGCAAUCCUCAGAUCUGAAACUCUUGACCCAAAUCCAAAUCGAGUGAUUCAAAGUUCCACAGAUAGGUAUUGAAAAGAUCUACAACUUGGCAUUGGUCUCAUCCUCAAAUUCGUUACGGAUUUUGCAUGAUCAAGAUCUGGUCAGAUCUAACUUUGUCGAAUUAAAUCAGGAGCUUGGAAACGAAUUUUUGAAUGAAACCAAUUGGG